CUUCCAGUAGCACCUUAGAGACCAACUAAGUUUGUUAUUGGUAUGAGCUUUCGUGUGCAUGCACACUUCUUCAGAUACCAAUAACAAACUUAGUUGGUCUCUAAGGUGCGACUGGAAG